ACACCAUUAAGUUUUUGAAGACUGCUACUCAAAAGCGUUCAAAACCGACCGAUCAAUCACCCGCCUUCAACAUGAGUUCAAAAUCCUUUUUCGAAAGUGACGAGGAUGCUGCCCAGAGCAACAAACUGUCCAGGAAGGCAAAGGAAUCGCCCUUUAUGCUAGUGGGCAUCGCCGGAUUUGUGGCGGCUGGAGUGAUUGGAGCCUACAAAUACCGGAACCGUGGAACCAUGAGCACCAGCGUAUUCCUGAUGCAGUUGCGUGUGGCCGCCCAGGGAACCGUUGUCGCUUGCCUGACCGCUGGCUUGGCCUAUUCGAUGGCCAAGGAGUACAUAUUCGACAAGGCUCCCAAGGAAAAGUAAUGACGCGUUCCUACUUAGUUAAAUCUAGCAGUAGUAGUCGUAAUUGUUGUAUCUUCCCCAAAUCCCUGACUAACUAAAACAAUUGAAUGUUCGGAUUCCCUUCAAUUAUCCCCAAACAAAAUCUCGGGGCGACAUAUGCAAUCCUUAACUCUAUUUAUUGCACCAUCAUAAGCUUAACACCGACUAGGAAGGUUAGAAUCAUUGAGGGGCUGGACUCUAUCAAGUAUUUUUUGGGUCUAGGCCCCCGAGAAGAAGAUAGAUAAAAUAUUGUAUACCUGCAUAUGAUUGUGAUACUGUAUGUUUUUAAUUGUACAAGUACGACAUCCAAACGAAUGCUUUCGAGGAUUGUCGACUCUAUGAAUGAAUACCUCUCGCAUGAUAUGAUAUGAUUUAAUAAAGAAAAUAGUCUAAA